rnacentral:rRNA from 1 species
UGAGGAAUCUUGCGCAAUGGGGGAAACCCUGACGCAGCAACGCCGCGUGAGUGAGGAAGGUUUUCGGACCGUAAAGCUCUGUCGAGCGGGAAGAAGUGCAUGGUGGCUAAUAUCCAUCAUGCUUGACGGUACCGCUAGAGGAAGCACCGGCUAACUCCGUGCCAGCAGCCGCGGUAAUACGGGGGGUGCAAGCGUUGUUCGGAAUUAUUGGGCGUAAAGAGCGUGUAGGCGGCUGAAUAAGUCAGAUGUGAAAUCCCCGGGCUUAACCUUGGAAGUGCAUUUGAAACUAGUCAGCUGGAGUAAGGGAGAGGAAAGUGGAAUUCCUGGUGUAGAGGUGAAAUUCGUAGAUAUCUGGAGGAACACCGGCGGCGAAGGCGACUUUCUGGCCCUAUACUGACGCUGAGACGCGAGAGCGUGGGUAGCAAACA